rnacentral:lncRNA from 1 species
AAAGAAGAAGAAGGAGGAGGGAGGAAAAGGAAAAGGAGGAGGAGGAGGAGGUGUGGCCUUGUUUGAGGAAGUAUGUCACUGGGAGUGGACUUUGAGGUUUCAAAAGCUCAUGCCAGGGCCACUCUGUCUCUUUCUACCUACAGAUCAGGAUGUAGCUACUGUUCCAGUGCCUGCCUGUGUACCACCAUAAUCCUCACCAUAACAAUGAACUAAACUGAAACUAAAAUAAACAGGACAAAACUUAACCUGGAUCCAGAGAAGACAUCAGAUUAGCUGAUAGCCAACCAGUGCUUCAGCACAGAGCCAGAAAAGCCAGGCCUGCUAACUAGGUCAGGUGAAGUCUAACAACAAUGCCAAUUCCCACCAUGUUGGCCAAAAGUGGACCCCCUAUAAUAGAAACAGGGCUGACAAGGACCAAGUGAUGGCUCUGUCUCACUAACUCACUCACUCUUUGUAUCUUUCCUCAUUUAAUCUUGACAAUGGAAAUGCAGUGCUAAUCAGACUAUUGUUCACUCUCCAAAAACUGAAGCAUGAAGGAAAUAAUGUGUUAUUUACUUCACGUGUUAAAGAGUAGCAUUCCCUGCUGCAAGAGAGGCAUCGGCUCCAUGCCAUUGAUCCUGCACAUUUUCUGAAAUUCUUGUUCACUCUCCACCUCCCUUUAGCUACACUGUCCAGCAUACUUGCUGUUACGAUCUAUUAUAACUUAUUCUAAGGAUAUACAUAGUUUUUCCCUCGCAGCCUACUUCCUGUGUGAUUCCUGAUGGAUACAAGCACCAGGGAAUCGAAACUGAAGUAAAUUACCCUAAGGAGAGCUGCCUGUCUUGUGGAUCUGUUAUUCUGUAUUUCUAGGCAAAGGGUCACAGAAGCCUCACUUGAAGCAAUGGCUCAUCACAUCAGCUGUAAGCAGAAGCCAUGGUUAUUAUUUUCUUUGCGUGUCAUACAAAUGGAGCAGUCAACAUCUGGUAACAUCAAAUCUGUCUUCAUAGGAAUUCUACUUUGUAUUUAAGACUCGCAUAAAACAGGCCUCAGGAGGGCCCUGCAGAGGGAGGACCAGAUAGCUCUGGAGUGCAGGGAGGGGCGGAGGAGGAUGUCCUCCUAAAUCAAAUGAUUCACCAGGAUUUGCUCCAGGAAAUAUUAAGAAACAGUCUGGUGGCUGAGACAUAGAAAGAUGGCAUCUGGUGGCAGAUUUGGUAUAAAUCCCACAUCCUAAUAAAAGUCUUUGUCAUACUCCCCGGAUCUUUCAUGAAUAAUCCUG